rnacentral:rRNA from 1 species
AGAGUUUGAUCGUGGCUCACAACGAACGCUGGCGGCGCGCCUCUCACAUGCAAGUCGAACGGAGUUCUUGUUGUCUCAAUACAGCAUUCUCUUCUUGGCGAAAGGGUCUGUCUCACGUCUGUCUCCUACCCUCUGGAUGGGGAUACUCCCGGGAAACCGGGCUUCUUACCGAAUAUUGUCCAUCUGUGCAAUUCUUAUGGAUCUCUGUCUUCUGCAAUCAAGGCGCCAGAGGAUGGGCCUGCGGCCUAUCAGCUUGUUGGUCUGGUCUUGGCUCACCAAGGCUCUGACGGGUCUCCGAACUCUCUGGUUGGUCGGCCACACUGGGACUCUCUCACGGCCCAGACUCCUACGGGAGGCAGCAGUGGGGAAUCUUGCGCAAUGGGCGAAAGCCUCUCGCAGCGACGCCGCGUGGAGGAAGAAGGCCCUCGGGUUGUCUACUCCUUUCGUCUGGGAAAAAGUGCUCUGCAAUCAGCAUCUUGGUACCUCAAGAAGAAGCCACGGCUCUCUCUGUGCCAGCAGCCGCGGUCUGACAGAGGUGGCAAGCGUUGUUCGGAUUUACUGGGCUUCUCUGGCGUGUCUGCGUCCUCUUCUGUCAGGUGUGGAAUCCCUCUGCUUCUCUCAGGAAUUGCAUCUCUCUCUGUCAGGACUCUGUCAUACAUGGGAGGGCGGAAUUCCUGGUGUCUCGGUCUCUUGCGUCUAUAUCAGGAGGAAGGCCGGUGGCGAAGGCGGCCCUCUGGGUCUUCUCUCUCGCUCUGGCGCGAAAGCGUGGGGAGCAAACAGGAUUCUAUACCCUGGUCUUCCACGCCCUCUACGGUGGGUACUCGGUGUGGGUGGCAAUCUCCAUCUGUGCCCAAGGGAAACCAUUCUGUACCUCGCCUGGGGAGUAUCUCCGCAAGGUUCUCUCUCAAAGGAAUUCUCGGGGGCCCGCACAAGCGGUGGAGCAUGUGGUUUCUUUCGACGCUACGCGAAGAACCUUACCUGGGCUUCUCAUGCUGGUCUUCUGAACCUCUCUGGGGGAUCUUCCUGGGGUCUCUCAGGGAGCCAGCACAGGUGCUGCAUGGCUGUCGUCAGCUCGUGCCGUCUGGUGUUGGGUUCUGUCCCGCAACGAGCGCAACCCUCAUCCUCUGUUGGUCUUUUCUCCUCUCUCUGGAAACUGCCAGCGAUCUGCUGGAGGAAGGUCUGGACGACGUCAAGUCAUCAUGGCCCUUACGCCCAGGGCUACACACGUGCUACAAUGGUCUGUACAAAGGGUUGCUCUUCCGUCUGGAGGAGCCAAUCCCAAAAAGCCUAUCCAAGUUGGGAUCGGAGUCUGCAACUCGACUCCGUCUACGCGGAAUCGCUCUUCUUCGUGGAUCAGCACGCCACGGUCUAUACGUUCCCGGGCCUUGUACACACCGCCCGUCACACCACGAAAGUCAGUUGUACCCGAAGUGGGUCUG